rnacentral:rRNA from 1 species
AACCAACGCUGGCGGCGUGCCUAAUACAUGCAAGUCGAACGGGGAAAGCUUUCGGGUGAGUACUAGUGGCGCACGGGUGAGGAACGCGUGGAUAAUCUGCCUUAGAGUGGGGGAUAACUAGUCGAAAGAUUAGCUAAUACCGCAUAAGACCACGAGAGCUGCGGCUUUUGAGGUCAAAGGUUUUUCGCUCUAAGAUGAGUCCGCGUAAGAUUAGCUAGUUGGUGAGGUAACGGCUCACCAAGGCGACGAUCUUUAACUGGUCUGAGAGGAUGAUCAGUCACACUGGAACUGAGACACGGUCCAGACUCCUACGGGAGGCAGCAGUAGGGAAUAUUGCACAAUGGAGGAAACUCUGAUGCAGCGACGCCGCGUGAGUGAUGAAGGCCUUCGGGUCGUAAAGCUCUGUCGCAGGGGAAUAACACAAUGAAGGUACCCUGUAAGAAAGGAUCGGCUAACUUCGUG